rnacentral:lncRNA from 1 species
CUACUGAUCUAUGUGCAUCUCACCUAACAGUUAUUGAUGAUGUGCAAAUCAAUAAGUCGAUAAUUUUUUGUUCAUUGUUUCUCCAAACAAAUUGCAGCGAGAUCGGUCUCUAAGUUCUGUGGCAUCACCUAAUAGUUAUUGGUUACAUUUUUUAGUUAAGUUUGAUCCACCAUUCACCAGUGGAUGUAAAGCCAUCAUUGGGUCCCUC